rnacentral:rRNA from 1 species
GACGAACGCUGGCGGCGUGCUUAACACAUGCAAGUCGAACGGUGAAGCGCUUGCCUUUUUGGUGGGUGUGGAUGAGUGGCGAACGGGUGAGUAACACGUGAGUAACCUGCCCUCUUCUUCUGGAUAACCUCAUGAAAGUGGGGCUAAUACGGGGUAUUCCGGGUCUGUCGCAUGGCGGGUUUGGGAAAGAUUGCGCCUUUGGGUGUUUUCGGUGGGGGAUGGGCUCGCGGCCUAUCAGCUUGUUGGUGGGGUGAUGGCCUACCAAGGCGGUGACGGGUAGCCGGCCUGAGAGGGUGGACGGCCACACUGGGACUGAGACACGGCCCAGACUCCUGCGGGAGGCAGCAGUGGGAAUAUUGCACAAUGGGCGCAAGCCUGAUGCAGCGACGCCGCGUGAGGGAUGGAGGCCUUCGGGUUGUGAACCUCUUUCGCCAGUGAAGCAGGCCUGCUCCUGUGUGGGUGGGUUGACGGUAGCUGGAUAAGAAGCGCCGGCUAACUACGUG